AUGCGACUCUCAGCAGAUUUGAACGCAACGAAUGGGCUGGAUCAAGUUGCUUCCACUGUGCCCACACCCAAAAGGAGGUCAGGCAUCCCGAGGCAGCCAGCCUGGGCAUGCAGAGGGAGCAGGAUCCCAGUUCUUGGCUGCAUCUCCUGCACAGACACCAGCAAGCAGCGUUUUCUGCCAACUGAAGCGAUGGAAGCAGCGAAUAACCCCGGCAUGCCCAGGCUCUGCACAGCCCAACUGUCGGCCAGCUGCCUGUUCCUGGGAGGACACAGUGCCACAGGCAGGGAGCAUUUUCUUGCUAUAAUCAAGAAAAGAAAUUGUGCGGAUCAGAGCAGCUGAAUGGCAGCCAAAUCUGCUUCUCGGCGGCUUUUCUACACUCUGUAUUCAUGUAUUUGGCAUGACUAGCUCUGCAUUGAGGUAAUUCAUUAAUGCUCAACCAAAAAUGUGUUUAUGGAAGUCUUGAAAUAGUUGGUAGAAGUGUAAGACUUUCCUUCCUAAAAGCCUGGGCUCUCUCUGUGAUGGGAACUGGGUAUUAAAGCAACGAGUGCUGCUACAAUCAGCUGCCAGGGAAGCGACUGCAGGCAGCGUGUGCCCUGUGCAUUCUGGCUUGCUCUGAUCUCCUUGUGCUAAAGCCUUUCCCAGGAUUUAGUGUCCAUAAGCACCACGGGUGGGAUUUGCAUCAGUUCUGCUCAUGCCUGGGGUGUGGGGACCUCACCCCAGGUUUCACAGAGAGCAGCUUAGGGAGCAAACAGGAUGAUGUGCCUGGAAGUGCAGCACUCCGAGCUGAUGGUAGGACCAGAGAGUUGGCUGGACCAGAAGGGACUGUAGCAGAGCAAAAGCAGGGGAAGGGGAGGUAGGACAGCCCUGGGGAGACCCAAGGUCUCUGGCCAUCACCCAGGAGGUGAAGUGGGUGCACCCAUGCAGAGCAAACAGCUUUUUUAGGGUAGCUGUGGGUUUCGCUGCUCGCACAAUGGAUAUCGCUGUUGUCGUUCCAGUUAUAAUCCUGUAUAAAUAAGGCUGACCUCUGGUUAUUGAAAAGAGCUGAAAAUAAAGACAACUUUCUCUGCUUCCUCAGAUGCAGAGUCUGAUUGCCAGGCUUGGCCAACACAGCCCACACCGUGCUCCCAGCUCAGCCCUGCAGCUGCUGGGGACCUGCGGCGCGGUUGGCAGCAGGGCAGAGUGGCAGUGAGCACCCAGGCAGAGAGCCACUGUGGCCCAGGACACCUUCCCACUGUCCCUGAUGCCCUUCACUUGUCAGAGGGAGCUGGCAGCCAAAAAAAAAGAGCACAUGAGCAGAAAAUAGUUGAGCUGGGCAUUCCCUGGACUGGGAGUGGCACAACCGCCCACUUUCCCCCACUUGGGUGGGAGUUUGAUCCCUGGAUGGGGACACAGGGGAUUUGUCACCCUUGUACAGGCACAUGGCUGCAGCCAGGAUGCUCCUGACACAGAUGCUGAACCACAGCUGCCUCACUCGACACUUUCCAGCUUCACCUGACCCACUGAACUAUUUGUGCCUGAGGAAACCGGGCGCGGAGCUGGAGCGAGGGAGGCUCUGGUGAACACAGCAUUUCCCAGCGGAUGACUUCAGCCUCCCAGCAGGGCUCACAGACAGCCCCAGCCCGAGUCCUUUGCUCUGCAGGAAGCUCCUUUCUUUGGGAAGCCUUUGUUCCAGCAAGGCUGGAGCAGCCCCAGCCCCAGGGGAGCCCACGGGACCGGGGGCACCUCUCAGGGCACUGGGGGAGCCGCCAGCCUGGGCCAUGCUGCACAAGUCCCCCCAACUAUGUGAGAAAUAGCCCGUGGCCACCCCAAGGAUCCCCAUCUCCUUUGGCAGGUGUCACAUCCAUCCCACCUGGCUGCACUGCUCCUAGUGGCCUAAUGAUAAUUAUUGACUAUCAUUAAUAAUAAAUCUCUUCCUGUGAAAUAUCUCAUUCAUCCCAUUGGACACACAAUGGCACCAGCCACACGCUGCUGGCAAUUGCAU
ensembl:lncRNA